ensembl:lncRNA
GCUAUCCUGUAGGUGCUCUAUCUGAUGUUUGCAGUUUGUCUCUUAGAAAUGGCUUUCCUUUCCACUUGCUUUAGUCAAGGUUCUCUAGGUGAGCAGAACCAAAAGAAAGGGUUCAGGGCUUGCUAACAGGUGUAUUUGUAACAGGAACACCACUAGAUUAUAGGCAGAUUGGAGAAAUUGGAAGCCUUAUAAAAAGGGCAACCAGUAAUGCAACCCACAGCCCAACCGUACUUCACUGAAGGCCUCUACAUUCUUGGAGAGUUCGAAUUCUAAGGCUGGAGAAGCAGCAACAUAACUUGCAUACGCUAAAGGAGCCAAGCAUGGGCCGACCACUCCAGGUGACUGCCUGGGCUCUCCAUUAUGGAGAAACUCAGUUCCAAGAAGAAGGAAACAGAAGCUGUCAGGAUUUUAGAAUGCCCUUUCUCUACAUUCUUUUGGGUAAAGUACUUACAGGCCCAGCUCAGCUUCAAGGAAAAAAUUCGAUGGAUGGGAGAUCCCCCCCAGCCACCACCCCCCCCAACCACACAACUACCUUCCCGACUGGAACCAUUAAAGACCAGCUUGUCAUUCUGUCAUUUUUUUCUUGGGUCCUUGCCAAGCUCCAGCCAAACAAUGUCUCUCUGUGGAGUGUAUUCAGUCAGUAACAGGCAAGAAUAGCCAAGGAGGGCAAAGGGCUAGUUCUACUGGCCCGUCCAUCCACCGAAGCCCACCACUUGGCCAUGCUCAGGAAGACAUUGCCCCCUCGUGGUUCCUCUUAUAACUGAGCGAAAAGCAGAUUGCAAACACAAUCAAUAAAUCAAAACACAAAGUUUCCGAUUAAUUGUAGCUCUUCUUCUGGACCUUUUCUCCCGCUGUUCCAACGACUCUUGGUUUAUUUCCUCCCAGGAGGUACCUUUGUUACUAUAGAGCGCCGUGGCAGUAUGACA